CCUACGGGAGGCAGCAGUGGGGAAUAUUGGGCAAUGGGCGCAAGCCUGACCCAGCAACGCCGCGUGAAUGAAGAAGGCCCUCGGGUUGUAAACUUCUUUUGUCAGGGACGAAGAAAGUGACGUUACCUGACGAAUAAGCCACGGCUAACUACGUGCCAGCAGCCGCGGUAAUACGUAGGUGGCAAGCGUUAUCCGGAUUGACUGGGGGUAAAGGGCGUGUAGGCGGGACUGCAAGUCAGAUGUGAAAUUCCAGGGCGCAACCCUGGAACUGCAUUUGAUACUGUAGUGCUUGAGUUCUGGAGAGGCAGGCGGAAUUCCGGGUGUAGCGGUGAAAUGCGUAGAGAUACGGAGGAACACCAGUGGCGAAGGCGGCCAGCUGGAC
rnacentral:rRNA from 1 species